rnacentral:rRNA from 1 species
GAUGAACGCUGGCGGCGUGCCUAAUACAUGCAAGUCGAGCGAACAGACGAGGAGCUUGCUCCUCUGACGUUAGCGGCGGACGGGUGAGUAACACGUGGAUAACCUACCUAUAAGACUGGGAUAACUUCGGGAAACCGGAGCUAAUACCGGAUAUAUAUUGAACCGCAUGGUUCAAUAGUGAAAGACGGUUUUGCUGUCACUUAUAGAUGGAUCCGCGCCGCAUUAGCUAGUUGGUAAGGUAACGGCUUACCAAGGCAACGAUGCGUAGCCGACCUGAGAGGGUGAUCGGCCACACUGGAACUGAGACACGGUCCAGACUCCUACGGGAGGCAGCAGUAGGGAAUCUUCCGCAAUGGGCGAAAGCCUGACGGAGCAACGCCGCGUGAGUGAUGAAGGUCUUCGGAUCGUAAAACUCUGUUAUUAGGGAAGAACAAAUGUGUAAGUAACUAUGCACGUCUUGACGGUACCUAAUCAGAAAGCCACGGCUAACUACGU